rnacentral:miRNA from 1 species
UGGUGGAAGUAUUGUGCCCGG